rnacentral:rRNA from 1 species
UACGUAGGGUGCGAGCGUUAAUCGGAAUUACUGGGCGUAAAGCGUGCGCAGGCGGUCUGUUAAGACAGAUGUGAAAUCCCCGGGCUUAACCUGGGAACUGCAUUUGUGACUGGCAGGCUAGAGUAUGGCAGAGGGGGGUAGAAUUCCACGUGUAGCAGUGAAAUGCGUAGAGAUGUGGAGGAAUACCGAUGGCGAAGGCGGCCCCCUGGUUGGAUACUGACGCUGAUACGCGAAAGCGUGGGGAGCAAACAGG